GGUCAUAUAGCUCAGCGGUAGAGCACCACGUUGACAUCGUGGGGGUCACAGGUUCAAUCCCUGUUGUGACCACCA
rnacentral:tRNA from 1 species